rnacentral:tRNA from 1 species
CGCGGAGUUGAGUAAUUGGCCACUCGUUAGGCUCAUAACCUGAAGUAUGUAGGUUCAAAUCCUACCUCCGCUC